rnacentral:piRNA from 1 species
AGAACAAACACGGUUACGGAA